rnacentral:rRNA from 1 species
GUGAGGAAUAUUGGGCAAUGGGCGAAAGCCUGACCCAGCCACGCCGCGUGAGUGAUGAAGGCCUUCGGGUUGUAAAGCUCUGUGGGGAGGGAAGAAAAAGCGAGAGAGUAACUGCUCUCGUGUUGACGGUACCUCCUUAGCAAGCACCGGCUAACUCUGUGCCAGCAGCCGCGGUAAUACAGAGGGUGCAAGCGUUGCUCGGAAUUACUGGGCGUAAAGCGCGUGUAGGCUGACAUGCAAGUCGGGUGUGAAAUCCCAGGGCUCAACCUUGGAACUGCACUCGAAACUGCACGGCUUGAGUACUGGAGAGGGAAGCGGAAUUCCGGGUGUAGAGGUGAAAUUCGUAGAUAUCCGGAGGAACACCAGUGGCGAAGGCGGCUUCCUGGACAGUAACUGACGCUGAGACGCGAAAGCGUGGGGAGCAAACAGGAUUAGAAACCCGUGUAGUCC